AAUAACCUCUGUUAGGAGACUGUUCAGUUUUUCACACUGCUGUCACACACACAAAAAAAUGCAACAUUCCACUAGCUGUUUCCAAAAGCUCUGGGUGACAAGACACACACACUCACUACGAAAAGUCCAGCAGGUGCCAAUUGGUGUUGCUGCAGCAAGAAAGAAUAACAACGAGAGCUGUGAAAGUCUCCACUAUUCUGGGAAAGAAUCGGGCAUCUCCCUACUUGGAUAACCACAGUAUUCUCUCAAACACAAGGCCUCUGUUUGAAUGCCACCCAAACACCGUAUUAAGCAGUAUUUUUAUUCCCAACCCUGGGACAAGAACGGAAGCUCUAGGAGACAGGCUGUGUCUGCAGGACUCAGAACUGCCUGGAAUGUGUCCAGAGGUGGGAUGCUGGAGAAGAGGACUUUCCACCUGCUCCCAGCAAGCAUCAUUCAGCCUCUUCUUGGACCUCCUUCAUCUUGGAUUGACGUCCAAAGAUCGUGGGGCUCAGACUAGCUUGUUAUGCGACAGUCAUCGCCAUCACUUGGGCAAAACGGAUGCUCAGGGAGCACUCACUCUGUGCCACAGGGUUGAUGUUCACGUAACACAGGUCACCUCAUUGAAUUUCGCCUUCCUCCCACCUUAAAAAAUAGAUAUUUAGGGGGAGGGAGUGGGAGGGAUCGGGAGCUUGGGCUUAUCAGACACAACUUAGAAUAGAUUUACAAGGAGGUCCUGCUGAAUAUCAUUGAGAACUAUGUCUAGAUACUCAUGUUGCAACAGAAGAAAGGGUGGGGGAAAAACUGUAAUUGUAAUGUAUACAUGUAAGGAUAACCUGACCCCCUUGCUGUACAGUGGGAAAAAAAAAAUAGAUAUUUAUCAUUUCUGUUAGGAAACAGAGACUCAACAGAGACAAACAACAUGGCCAAGGUCACAGCUGAAAUUUGACAGGACCCAGAUUCCCGCCCAGUCUGACCACAUCACCACACUAUUGCGCCAGUGAGCCCUUCCCCUGUGCCUGAUACCGUCGUCUUAAGGGGUCUAAUCCUGUCAAGUCUCAGCUCCUUUCUCCAGAUGAAAAAACGGAGUCUCAAGGGAGUUAUGCAUAAAUCGCCUGCUCAAGGUCAUAGUGCGCGUGAGUGGCACAAGUGGGUUUCAUCCAGGGCUGUCUGCAGCAUCGCACUUCCUCGCUUUAUGGAAGAAGAAAGAGAAGGAAAGAGGCCCAGGAGGAGGAGGAGGAGGCAAACUGAAACGCUGCAGAUCACUAAUUACUAAUCAGUGAGAAUGGUGGGACUUGAAUCAACACUGCCACCUUCACGAGAGCGUCACGGUGCCUCCGAGAAGUGUCCUGUGUCCCACCCCCACUCUGUGCACCGAGUGCAAAGCAGAUUAGGGAGAGUUCCUUUUUUUUUUUUUUUUUUUUUUUUUUAAAUAUCUAUUUGGCUGCACCCAUGGCAUGCAGAAGUUCCAGGGCCAGGGAUCGAACCCGAGCCACAGCAGUGACAACGCCAGACUCUUAAUCCGCUGAGCCACCAGGGAACUCCAAGAUUUCCCUUUCCGAUGCUGCCUGGGGCUGAGCAAGGUUCCUACUGAGCAAGGACCCUGGGCUGGUCUUUUUCCUAGGGCUGGGCUCACGUCAGGCAGCCUGGGAGCCAGGAAAG
rnacentral:lncRNA from 1 species